GCAGAUAACCGGCGGAUUCCCUCUGCAAACAACACCCCCUUCCCCCAUGUGGCUGAGCUAUUGGCAGGACAGGAGGUGCCUUUUACAGGAAGUGCCGAGCUGAACUACUAGAGUUUUCCGAGUGACUGAGGAGGGCUCAGCCCUGCCAAGAGUCAUCUGUGCCUUGCAGGGAUGGCUGGCAAGUACCAGAGUGAGGCAGAGGUGCCAAGGGAAAGGGAAGAGGAACAGGCUGACUUUCAUACACUUGUCCAGGAGUUCCUGAAAUGCUUCUUGGGGAACCAUGUGUAUCCCGAGCAAAGGGAACACCAGAGAAGGGAGCGGGAGUGCCAGCUGGUGCAAGCUCUGGUCAGCAGGAUUAUGGCUCGGCUGCAUGAGUGGAAUGUGCAGCUGUUCACGGGGGAAGCCAUCCUGGUGGGCAGCCAAGCCCAGGACCUCCACGUCCGGACAGAGUCCAGCAGCAGGGACUAUGACUUCCUGGUCCCCAUCUAGUACAACACGAACCUGAUCCUUGUGGGCAGCCUGUACAGCAAACUAUACACCCCAAAAAGUCUUCUGCCUGUCUGGGAGAGCUUGAAGCACGGGGUGCCAGUGUACCGCUGAGGGAACAAGGUGGUGGUGGAUUAUAACAAACUGAUAAUAAGAGAUCUCUUGGAGAGGAAGACUGGAGACGUGGAUCUCACAGAGGAAGACAUAAAAACAAUAAAUGACCAGCAGCUACAGCUUUGGAAGAAUAGCGUUAGUCCAUAUAGUGUAAUGACAGAAUUGUGGGAGUGUGUCCAGAAAGCUCUGACUGAAGAGCAAAGAAACCCUGCUACUGGAAUUAAUCUGCAAAGCUUUGACCUCUGUCAGCUGUUGACUUUUGACUCCCACUCCUCUGUCUUGCCCUCUCCAAGGCAACGUUAGACUGGAGAACACUGUGGGUAUUACACCAAUUAGUCCAGCCGUGCAGCUCAGUGCAGAGGUGGACGGCCAAGCUGUGUCUAUAGACCUGGUGCCCACCAGGGCCAGCUCUAGCCAUUUCGCCGCCCCAAGCAUGGCAGCACGCCGCAGGGGGCGCUCUGCUGCUCGCCAGUCCCGCGGCUCCGGUGGACCUCCCGCAGGCAUCCCGCUGGGGCCUGGAGCCGGCCCUGGUGCCCACCAUCCGGAAUAAAGUGGACAUGUCCAUGGAUUGGCUGCAGCAGGAUCUCAGGUGGCUCUCCGACUGGUGGGACCGGGAGCAGGGCACUGAGCAGAUCAAACCCACCUGGAAUAUCAUGGAGAUUUACAGAACUGGGACUGAUCUGAUGGCCAAGAAUCUGUAUUGGAGGUAAAAAUGCAAAUCUCAUUUGUUCUAGCAGAAGUCAACAAAAACACACACAGAGGGGGGCUCAUCCCUGCUAGCACGGAGGGGCAAAGACACACACACAGAGAACAGCAUGAAUCCCCAGCAGCAGGGGGUGCAAGGACAGGGACACACACACACACACACACACACACACACACACACACACACACACACACACACACACACACACACACACACACACACACACACACACACACAGCAGGGGCCAUCCCCACCAGCAGGGGGCACAGGGACACACACACACCCUGGUGCAGGACUGGGAUGAGGGGGUCUGUCUGACCUCGUACUCCCAUUCAGCCCUGCCCCAUUUCCCCCACCCCAUCCCAGGCUCACUUACUCUCUGGCUGAGACCCGACUCCUCAGGGACAUUGACCUCGAUGGUGCUG